GAUGACGGAAUUGGCGGGCUAUUAAAAUACCCGAAUCUGAAAUGAGAGUCCAGGUUUCACUUAACUGUCAUUCUUUGGACAAAUCUAACUCGAAUGUUUCGAUUUUGUUAUUCAAUUUAGGAUUUGGAUGCAUCAAUUCUGUGGUUUUGGGAGCAGCAUACAGAACCAGAGAGACGAGUUCUAGCUUUCAAACAUCGUAAACUGACCCUUUCAGAUUUUCUAUUUAUAUUUUUUUCAGUGAUUGUCGAAAUUGCAAUUUUGCAAAAUUAGUUUGUUUCCAUGUCUCAGUGAUUUAGUUUAUAAUCCCUGUUGAUAUCUUCUUCUCAUCUAAAUGCAUUGUUUCAUUUCAUUAAUUUUUUCCGAUCGGUGUUCGCCUUUAGUUAUUUUGCUAACUAAAUAAUUUUGAACAUGUUGAAUAAUAGGUUAAAUGCAUAUUGAAGUCAGAACACUUUUUGUUAGUAGAAAAUGAGAUUCUCUAGUGUUAGGGAACUAAUUUGUCCAAUAAGGCAUUGGAAUGAAAGAGUAUGUUGAGAUGUAAUUGUUGUUGUAGUAACCAGUUUUAAUCAACUGUUCGUUAUAUUUUUCUUUUUAAUGAGCGAAAAAUUCUUGAGUGCCUAAAAUUAGAAAAGUAACACUACAUUGUUCUGGUUCAGAGUAUUUUAAUUUUAAUGGACCUGAUAUAAUUGCCUUUGAUUACUAGUAUAGUGUAUACAAAGAUUUUUGACCCUUUAUAUACGAAGCACGGAAGCAAGAGUAUCUUGUUAAGAAGAGAAAGUGCUAAUCUGUUGCUAAUAUAUAGAGAGUGUAGAUUCCAUGCAUCAUUUGAAGCUGCAGGUUUGUGCUAGUUUCCGCUUAGGUAGUGACAUUUUUUACCUUUACAUUGGCAUUGCUGCUUUGCAAAUUAUAUUGCUAAAGAAAUAUAUAUGGCCCAACUGGAUUGUUCUGUGUUUUGUAACAAACCAUGAACAUCCAUCCAUGCUUGGAUCUACCGGACUUAAAAGUGUUUCAGAGCAUUUGAAGUUAUAGGUGCUGGAGUCGUUGGGCUCCUUAGCUUUGCAACCAUUUCUUAUUCAGAUGAGCCCGAAGAAGAUCCAGUUAUCCAUGCCUCACGAAGCAUACAUUGAGGAAUGAGGAAGAAACAAAGGGCCAUGGAGGCGGAAAUUGAGGUGGUCGAUGAGCCUAGUGAUGAAGGUUAGAUGUUCACGACCCGGAAAACUGAGUGAUUGAUUUUCACAGCUUUAUGCUAAUGAAGCAGCUUCUGGCUUUGAUUAUGGAUGUACUCAUCCUCCUAAUCUAGGUCUUAUCACUAAGGACCACACAAGGAGCCAGAGUGAUCAUUCUUCAUGUGGUAGUAUGUGCUCAAGAACCUGACCCUGGUGCGCUCUGAAACUGCUUUGAACCGAAGCUUGGCCCGUUUGAAUCCGCCAUUACCUGUGGAUUCAUAGGGGACUCUCAAAGUGAUCUGUCCGGCAAAUGCCUCUAUAAGCAUAGACCCUUGGCAGGAAUUGCUGGCAUCUCCUACCGAAAACAUGAGGUCAUAAACUUUUCCUUUCUGAGUCCUCACUACUUGUGCUAUUGCGCUUUCUCUUCCAGCCACAAGCUCAAUGGCGCGCUUGCCCUCUGGCACGGUGAAGUGUUCAGCAUCAACGUAUUUUACUGCCUUGAGUGAUUCGAUAAUCCAUCCGGGCAAAGGUGAGUGAUCAUCCUCAAUGUUUGGUGGAAUUAGAACACCCCAGCUUGUGUUGGGGAAGAUAUAUGGACCCUCUUCGAAGUUUCCGUUCUUCAACAUGUUGCCUGCUUUUCAUUUUAUGCAUUAGAAUUUGAACUUUACUAACUUUUAGACACACAUAGUAUAAAAGUUUCACGUUGCCAACUUAAA